CUUUCAAGCCGAAACAUGGUUAGAGCUCUAAUAUGUCUUGAACUUAUACCGAAUUCAAUUAAUCUAAAUCUCGUAACAUUUUCUGAUCUAUUUGAUAAUCGCCAAUUAAAAGGAGAUAUUUUCGCAAUUUUUGUUAUAGCCCUUGCGGCCUGGAUUUUUUGA
rnacentral:rRNA from 1 species